GAGCGCCUCGUCGCCGGUAAGUUUCAAUUUUUUGGAUUUUUUCGGCCAACCGAUGUCCCUUAACGUGUUUUCUCACAGGAAUUGAUGCAAAGUCGGUCGAAAAUAGCCGACCUGAGGAGGACUGCCGACGUGGGCGGCAGCACCGUCGCCGGAGCACGACGGAGUCGUCGUGCUGGAAUUUUCAAAAUUCACCAAGUGGACCUUAAGACUGAUUUUGGGUUUGUUUAGGACAUUUGCAGGUACUAUUAGCAUGUUUUAACUCUUGAAAAAAAC
rnacentral:lncRNA from 1 species